GUAUAUGUGGCAGGCAGGAAGCUUCGACGUCCACGUGACCUGAUAAUAUCCUGGAACCCAACACUUCGUAGGACUUCAGGGAUCUUUAGUGUGUAGGCGGAGUAACCGAAAAACUGUUUGGUAUGUGAUCUACUGAUUUGUGCAGAAUGUUCAAGUUAUUACAGUCUACAAGGACUUCUGCCCAGUUGACUUAGUUUUCUCCAUAUCUGCACAAGGAACUGUUCGAACUUGAAAGCCGAGAAGAAAAUUCAUGAGUUGAGCAGCCAGAUUUGGACAGACCAAGAACAGGAAGGAAAGUCACAACUGAGCAGAGAAUACAUCCAAAGAAAGAAAAAUCGUUAACAUUGCAAUGGCGGAUUGUAUGCGAGAGGUUUAUCAAUAAGAACAAACCUGCAUUAUUCAAGGU